UACGUAGGGUGCAAGCGUUAAUCGGAAUUACUGGGCGUAAAGCGUGCGCAGGCGGUUUUGUAAGUCUGACGUGAAAUCCCCGGGCUCAACCUGGGAAUUGCGUUGGAGACUGCAAGGCUGGAGUCUGGCAGAGGGGGGUAGAAUUCCACGUGUAGCAGGUGAAAUGCGUAGAGAUGUGGAGGAAUACCGAUGGCGAAGGCAGCCCCCUGGGAUAACACUGACGCUCAUGCACGAAAGGCGUGG
rnacentral:rRNA from 1 species